rnacentral:antisense_RNA from 1 species
GCCUAUGGCGGGCGGCGCGGGGGAGCCGAGAGGCUCGCCGGUCCUGUUCCGGUCUGCCAACCCCGCGUCGUCCGUCGCCCUG